rfam:Salmo salar isolate Sally breed double haploid chromosome ssa01, whole genome shotgun sequence.
UGCAUUCACUACUGUAAGUCACUCUGGAUAAGAGUGUCUGCUAAAUGACUAAAC